AGAGGCUGCAGCUGCAGCAGCCGUGGAAACAAGCAGGGCCGUGCAGAGACUUCAGGGCUCUGGUGCCCAGCUGCACCCAUGGCCAGGAUGAGUGGCAGCACUGUGCAUGGGAUGCACUGGUCCUGUGACUGAGGUCCUGGCCCUGCCUGCUCCACCUGCCCACAACUCCCUUCCUGCCUGAUUCCCAAGCUCACUUCCAAGCCCUCAGCAUAAUUCUUUGAGCUACUUCCUGGCAUUCCACUCACACCAGCCAGCCUCAGGUCCUUUGCACCUGACGGACCCACAGCACCUAGUCUCUGCUCAGCUACAGGUGUCUCCUUAUCGUUCCCACCAAUGCCUACGCCUUGUGGGAAAUAACUGAAUGCACCCCCCCCCCUUCCAGCACGUCCUUUUACAUUUGUUGACCUUCUCAGGGGCCACUUCAGGCCUCUCUCUCCCCAAAUCCCAACUGCCCUCUCCAAACCCCUCCGUAAUACUUGCCCGCCCCACCUGUUGCCUUAUCCCCACACUGUCUUCAGGGAGACAGUUGUGAGGCCAGGACCACUGACUCCAGCACCCACGUUGCCUCUGUGAGGGUUUCAGACCACAGGCUGGGAUCAGCCGCCACGUUCUCUCUAACCUUCAUCCCACGUCCUGUGCCAUGCUCAUCCGUCGGUCCUGGAUCAACCCUAUUCGCCCUUCAGGUUCCACCUGAAGUUACGCCACCCGGGGAAAGUGAGACUGGACUCCCCAGGUGGACGGCCAGCCCCGGAUGUGCUCCGACUGUGGUCAGCGUGUCCUUCUGCCGCCGGCCCUGUGACGGAGACACAGGGCUCUGUGGCGUGUCGUCCCCCGCAUGCGAUGACCUGCACAGAUGGCCUCUCCGGGAAGGCCGGGCAGCGUGGUUGGCUGAGCCUCCAGAAGACAGAUUGUCAGGCCGAAGCUUGACAGAGAGAGUGUGGGGUGCUCGCGGAUGCUGUUCCAGAAGGCCAGCUGCUGCCGGGUCCUUCCCUCGCCUCAAGGUGAAGGACAGUCCUGAAAAGGACAAGAUUGGAACAACUCGCCAACAGAACAUGCCACCCAUAUGCAUUACUUGGGUCUCAUUUACUUUCUAAAGGAUAAAUGUGCGCCUAGCGAUGGGUGUCCUUUGAGUGUUGUCUGAUUUCCAAGCCCAGUGGGGUUUCCCAAGGACCCUGCGCAUUCAUCGAAAGGAAGCAGGAGGCCUCAAGGGACCUCCACUUCUGAGUGUCUCACCACGCUG
rnacentral:lncRNA from 1 species